CGUGCAGCAAAUUUGCAUCAAUGGCACAAUAAGUAAUGUACUUGGUAAAAGUCUGCAAUUAGCCUACAUAAAUGUAACUUAAUCAUUGCAAUCACUAUAUUUACAGUCAAAUAAUUGUAUUUCAGUUUAAAUAAUUACAAUUAACAAAAAGGAAGAGGUUCAUGUGUGUAGACCUAUAACAUGUAAUCAAAGACAGCAACAUAGCAAUCCAUGGAUAGGAUUAUAGUAGACAAUAUUCCUCAGAUUUUUUAUGUUUUAUUCUGGCCAUAUAAAUAAUGAAGCAGGCUUGAAUAACAGAAGUUUUAGGUGGGUGUCGAUGUUCUCACAGAUGCCUCCUGGUGGCCAUUCUUAUUUUUUAUUUUAUGUUUUUGUCCAUGCCGCAUGGCACUGCAACUUGCCGGGCAUGCCUCGUCACGGACCGACCCCGUUGGGUCUUGAAUUAAAUGAGCGACAUCUGUAGGUGCGAAGUGUCAAAGACGUUAGCAAUCUUGUGUUAGCUACCUAGCAUUAGCAACAUUGCGUUAGCCACCUAUCAUUAGCCACCUAGUGUAAGCCAACUUGCGUUAGCAACACUGCUUUAGCUAUCUAGCGUUAAAACCACUUCGUGUUAACAAAAUUGCUUUGGCCACCUAGCGUUAGCCACAAAGUGUAAGCCAACUUGUGUUAGCCACAUAGCCUUGAGCUUGCUAGCCACCUGAGUGACAGCUAAAAUGCUCUUCCACUAGCGUCACAUGCACACGCAGUGGCCAAAAUGAUGUCAACCGGGUUGAAUUCUUAAUACCAUUGACUUUGAAUGGGAAAGGGUUUAGCUUGUUAACUGAAGAAUAUUUGGCUCAGUUUCCUCCUUUAGUGAUUAACAUCUCCAGAAAGUUAUAUGCCUCUGACAUAUUUGGCCGAUUUUGGUGAAUUUCUUAAAAUCUGAGAUUUAUAGCACCACCAUGAGAACUAGCUGUUCGUACCUUUUAGGGUUCAUCCCUGGCAUUGGUGUUUAUCUGUAAAACAACUAUGUCAAAUUCAAUUGCAGCCACAUCGUUUGAGUUUAUCAAUUUUUUUAGACUUUUAAAAGUAAUGGUCCACAGAUCCUUCACAGCAAAAGGCAUGCCAAUCCAUUCAACGGUCUCAGAGAUGUCAAAUUAAGGCAAAACAUUGGUGAGGUUUAUAGUGCCCAAUAAAGUAAUUCCCCUGUGGAUUUAUGGCCUUAUAUAGUCAUAGACCUGCCCAGCAGAAUUUCAUUUGCUGAUUUUGGCCAUAUUAUUGGAGAUAUCAACGUUCCUUAUCCAGCUUUUAAAGAAAAUGGUUCACAGGUCCUUCACACUAAACAGCAUGCAAACAGCAUUAUAAAACGACUAAAAACAUUAUAGUUUUUUAAAAAUGUCAUGGUAUAUCAUCAUAUGUAAGAAAAAAAUUAUAGGAAUUUUAAAAGAUUUUAGAAAACUAACAUUCAAGUCUAUUUAUUUCAACCAAACAAAUACACACGUAAAAAAAAAUUGGCUAAUUGAAUACACACACAAAUACGUUUUGGGUAUUCGAAUAUUCGACCGUGCCCAUCCCUAAUGCAUAUACGUGAAAAACCACACCCACCUGAAUGGGUAUUGGUCAAUAGCGACCACAUUUUUUGACAUAUGGGUUCAGCUUAUCCGUCUUUUACAGAACUUGGUCUAUAGAAGCCAAAUAUCAAAGGACGUGAAGAUCAGACAUUCUGUGCUAUAGGAGUUUUAUUUUAAGCAUUUUUCACACAAUCCAAAUUGGCGGAAAGUCCAAUAUGGCAGACUUUGAGUCCCAUUGGCAAAACAUUUCAACUGUAUGCACCAUAUGAUAACAUACAUCACUAAUGAGUUGUAGGAAAAGCUCAAUUGCAACAUCCCCCGACCUGUGAAAAUACUAAAACAAAGAAAGUAUCCAGUCAAGAAGUCACUGGGACAACAAAUGUACAGUACUAACAUUUGUACACACUGACUCAAGGUUAUUUCUUUAUCUUUAAUAUUGUCCUCAUGCUAGAAUGAUGGUGAUGACAUCAAAACAAAUAGUGUUAAACAUAUCAAAUACAUGGUAUGUUUAGAUUGUUCAAAGUAGCCUCCCUUUGCCUUAAUGACAUCUUUGCACACUCUUGGCAUUCUAUCUACCAGCUUUAUAAGGUAGUCACCUGCAAUGCUUUUCCAACAGUCUUGAAGGAGUUCCCACAUAUGCUAAGCACUUGUUUGCUGCAUUUCCUUCACUCUGCGGUCCAACUCAUCCCAAAACAUCUAAAUUGGAUUGAGGUCUGGUGAUUGUGGACAUAGAACAUCAUAUAAUAAAGGCUAGACGUCUCAUGGCGCAGUCACUUCCGGCAUCACCGGUGGCCAUCUUGUCACAGGCAGGCUUCCUGGCGGGCUCUGUGGUACCUGAUGUAAGGUUCAGCCAGGACCACUUGGAGCUUCUCUUCAACUCCAUCAGAGCAUCUGGUAGGGUUCAUAAUUUAUAUUUACCAGCCGCAACACUAAGUGACACAGUGUCAGUAAAUGCUUGUUUUGUUUUCAGUUUGUCGGUCCAAUAUGUUUUUUUACUUUUGGUAAAAUGUUUUCUGAAGAUAUGCACCCUAACCCUAAGACAAUACACAAUACCUGGAAAUGUCACAAACCAUUUUGAGUAUUUAGAAAAAUGCCUGUGUUUGACUAUUUGUUUACAGAACUUAUCAUCACUGAUACAGUCUGAAUUGUAUGAUAAUGUCAUUCAAACAAUUUUAUGUGGUAAGAUCAUUCAGGGGUGGCUAGUUCUAAUUAGUCUUUUUUCGUAAAAAACGUUUUAAGCAUAAAACAUUUUAAAGCAUGUAUUGAAUAUCUGUGUACUAUACUCGUAUAUCUAUUUAUUAUUAUUAUUAUUAUUAUUAUUAUUUUUUAAACGAUGGCUGGAAUAACAACUCUAAUGCCAGCCAGUUCAAGUACAUCUUUAGGAUGUAAAGCAGAGGCGAUGUGAUGGCACAGGAUGACACAGAGUCCCUACCAGCUGUCAUCGACACCUCUACAAGCCUGUCAGCUGUAGAUGUGUCCUCUGCAGCAGGAGGAGAAGUCAUCCCCGUUUGCUGACAUUCCUGCCCUAGUACAUGAUCACAGCUACCUUCCCGUCCACUUCGAUGGUCUUGUGGACAACGCUCUCAUGU
ensembl:lncRNA